rnacentral:misc_RNA from 1 species
AAGUCGUAACAAGGUUUCCGUAGGUGAACCUGCGGAAGGAUCAUUACCAAAUCCAAAAAAAAACUUUCUAUCAACACCCCAAUGUGAACUGAGAAUGGUUUCGUCCCUCCGAAUUCUUCUCUUCUUCGGAAGAAAGGGAGGAGGGAUGUUCAAACACAUUUUUUUUUCAACCCCUUUUCAACCAUUAAAAACCCAUUUUUUUAAUGCUGAAAGCAAACAAAAAUACGAAACAUGAGACAACUUUUAACGGUGGAUCUCUUGGCUCGU